GGCCCCGGGGACCCGCGACGCCACCUUCAGCGUAGCGGUCCCGUGGUUCGGCCCGGGAAGAUCAUGGAAGAGGCGGCGGAUCCCGGCUGCUCCCCGGCCCCGAACCCCCAGCCCAACCACGCAGUCAUAAAUAACCGCGCCAGCCCGGCGACACCUGGCUACGCGACAGCGCGACACUGCGGGCACAGCCGAGUCAGCGUAACUGAGGCGCGGCCGAGUGCGGGGCUCUCUGGGGCCCGCGCCGCUGCUACGGGCGGGGUGGGUCUCCGAGCUGGGCUCAGCGCCCGUCUGGGACACUCACAUUCCCUAACGGUCUCCUGACCUCAGGAAACUCAAGGUCUUGACUCAAGGUCGUGAACGAUUUGCAAUUGUAUCUUCACAUAUACGACACAAAUGAGGUAUAAGCAUUUGGCUCAAGUCAUAACGAUUGCAAAUUAAGGCAAACACUUUGACGACUGAAGGGCAGCUUCCGGACUUUUGAUGGGAGAAGGCUAAUGCUGUUUUUUAGAAGCAUUAGCACACCCGCGGUCACUUAAUUCAACAAAUCAGAACUGUCUUGUGCAUAUAAAAGUUAAAAAUUUUAAAACUUCUGUGAAUAAAGAUAAAAUCUUGAACGAUACCCUGAUUUUUCAGGGAAGCGCUGUUUGUAUAAAUAUAAAAUAAAU
rnacentral:lncRNA from 1 species